rnacentral:rRNA from 1 species
AGGCGAAAAGAACCCCGGCGAGGGGAGUGAAAAAGAACCUGAAACCGUGUACGUACAAGCAGUGGGAGCCCCACCACCAAAGCAUUCUCUGGUGUUGAAGGCCCUGCAAAGCAGCAUCGCGGUGGCGGAGCGUCGUUUGCGACGCCCAACACACAAAACAAGCGGUGAGUGCUUUGGGGUGGGGUGACUGCGUACCUUUUGUAUAAUGGGUCAGCGACUUAUAUUCUGUAGCAAGGUUAACCGUAUAGGGGAGCCGAAGGGAAACCGAGUCUUAACUGGGCGUUAAGUUGCAGGGUAUAGACCCGAAACCCGGUGAUCUAGCCAUGGGCAGGUUGAAGGUUGGGUAACACUAACUGGAGGACCGAACCGACUAAUGUUGAAAAAUUAGCGGAUGACUUGUGGCUGGGGGUGAAAGGCCAAUCAAACCGGGAGAUAGCUGGUUCUCCCCGAAAGCUAUUUAGGUAGCGCCUCGUGAACUCAUCUUCGGGGGUAGAGCACUGUUUCGGCUAGGGGGUCAUCCCGACUUACCAACCCGAUGCAAACUGCGAAUACCGAAGAAUGUUAUCACGGGAGACACACGGCGGGUGCUAACGUCCGUCGUGAAGAGGGAAACAACCCAGACCGCCAGCUAAGGUCCCAAAGUCACAGUUAAGUGGGAAACGAUGUGGGAAGGCUCAGACAGCCAGGAUGUUGGCUUAGAAGCAGCCAUCAUUUAAAGAAAGCGUAAUAGCUCACUGGUCGAGUCGGCCUGCGCGGAAGAUGUAACGGGGCUAAACUGUGCACCGAAGCUGCGGCAGCGACGCUUAUGCGUUGUUGGGUAGGGGAGCGUUCUGUAAGCCUGCGAAGGUGUCCUGUGAGGGAUGCUGGAGGUAUCAGAAGUGCGAAUGCUGACAUAAGUAACGAUAAUGCGGGUGAAAAGCCCGCUCGCCGGAAGACCAAGGGUUCCUGUCCAACGUUAAUCGGGGCAGGGUGAGUCGACCCCUAAGGCGAGGCCGAAAGGCGUAGUCGAUGGGAAACGGGUUAAUAUUCCCGUACUUGGUGUUACUGCGAAGGGGGGACGGAGAAGGCUAUGUUGGCCGGGCGACGGUUGUCCCGGUUUAAGCGUGUAGGCUGGUUUUCCAGGCAAAUCCGGAAAAUCAAG